UACGUAGGUGGCAAGCGUUGUCCGGAAUUAUUGGGCGUAAAGCGCGCGCAGGCGGUUUCUUAAGUCUGAUGUGAAAGCCCACGGCUUAACCGUGGAAGGUCAUUGGAAACUGGGGGACUUGAGUGCAGAAGAGGAAAGCGGAAUUCCACGUGUAGCGGUGAAAUGCGUAGAGAUGUGGAGGAACACCAGUGGCGAAGGCGGCUUUCUGGUCUGUAACUGACGCUGAGGCGCGAAAGCGUGGGGAGCAAACAGG
rnacentral:rRNA from 1 species